rnacentral:hammerhead_ribozyme from 1 species
AUCCAGCUGACGAAUCCCAAAUAGGACGAAAUGCGCGUCCUGUAU